AUGCCGGCUCAUGUGUCCGCCCCAAGGCCAUCUCAUUGGCUGCCUCCAGUCCAGGGGUGUGUCAAAGUGAAUGUGGAUGUUGCAGUCUCUGUAGGAGGCAGGUACGGUGUUGUUGGUGCAAUCUGCAGGGACCAAAACAGUCUGUUCCUUGGAGCCUCGGCUAUAGGGUUCAAGUAUAUCAAUGAUCCACAAACACUCGAAUCGCUGGCCAUUAGGGAAGCCAUAUCACUCUCGGAUGACCUGUAUAUUUAGAGCAUCCAAGUGGCUUCCGACUGCAAGACGGUGGUAGACGAUAUAAAGAAUGGGACAUCAGCAGCAUAUGGAGCGGUGGUACAUGAAAUCUUAUAACAUUCUUCUAGUUUUCAGUCAUGUAAUAUAGUUCAUGAAUUUAGGAGCUCAAAUUUUAAGGCUCACAAUUUAGCGAAGCAUACUCUAUUUCUCGUGGGUGGCCGCCAUGUUUGGUUACGUCAUCCUGGAGAUCUUUUUUUCGUCCCUGUAAACAUUAUAACGGAUUAA
rnacentral:rRNA from 1 species